rnacentral:rRNA from 1 species
AUUGAACGCUGGCGGCAGGCCUAACACAUGCAAGUCGAGCGGAUGAAGAGAGCUUGCUCUCUGAUUCAGCGGCGGACGGGUGAGUAAUGCCUAGGAAUCUGCCUGGUAGUGGGGGACAACGUUUCGAAAGGAACGCUAAUACCGCAUACGUCCUACGGGAGAAAGCAGGGGACCUUCGGGCCUUGCGCUAUCAGAUGAGCCUAGGUCGGAUUAGCUAGUUGGUGAGGUAAUGGCUCACCAAGGCGACGAUCCGUAACUGGUCUGAGAGGAUGAUCAGUCACACUGGAACUGAGACACGGUCCAGACUCCUACGGGAGGCAGCAGUGGGGAAUAUUGGACAAUGGGCGAAAGCCUGAUCCAGCCAUGCCGCGUGUGUGAAGAAGGUCUUCGGAUUGUAAAGCACUUUAAGUUGGGAGGAAGGGCAUUAACCUAAUACGUUAGUGUUUUGACGUUACCGACAGAAUAAGCACCGGNUAACUUCGUGCC